rnacentral:rRNA from 1 species
UAGGGAAUCUUCGGCAAUGGACGAAAGUCUGACCGAGCAACGCCGCGUGAGUGAAGAAGGUUUUCGGAUCGUAAAACUCUGUUGUUAGAGAAGAACAAGGACGUUAGUAACUGAACGUCCCCUGACGGUAUCUAACCAGAAAGCCACGGCUAACUACGUGCCAGCAGCCGCGGUAAUACGUAGGUGGCAAGCGUUGUCCGGAUUUAUUGGGCGUAAAGCGAGCGCAGGCGGUUUCUUAAGACUGAUGUGAAAGCCCCCGGCUCAACCGGGGAGGGUCAUUGGAAACUGGGGGACUUGAGUGCAGAAGAGGGGAGUGGAAUUCCAUGUGUAGCGGUGAAAUGCGUAGAUAUAUGGAGGAACACCAGUGGCGAAGGCGGCUCUCUGGUCUGUAACUGACGCUGAGGCUCGAAAGCGUGGGGAGCAAACAGG